rnacentral:rRNA from 1 species
UGCGCAGGUGGUUACUUAAGUCAGGUGUGAAAGCCCUGGGCUUAACCUAGGAAUUGCGCUUGAGACUGGGUAGCUUGGAGUGCGGCAGAGGGAGGUGGAAUUCCACGUGUAGCAGUGAAAUGCGUAGAGAUGUGGAGGAACACCGAUGGCGAAGGCAGCCUCCUGGGCCAGCACUGACGCUCAUGCACGAAAGCGUGGGGAGCAAACAGGAUUAGAUACCCUGGUAGUCCACGCCCUAAACGAUGUCAACUGGUUGUUGGUGGGGUUAAACCCAUUAGUAACGAGGCUAACGCGUGAAGUUGACCGCCUGGGGAGUACGGCCGCAAGGUUAAA